UAUAGACUGACACUGCCUCCUGAACUUUUCAGGGUCCAUAAUGUGUUUCAUAUGUUCAUAUUAUGCAAGUACAACCUGGACCCCUCUCAUGUCUUAGGCCACAAGCUUCUUCCACUCUAGGAAAAUCUGUCCUACGAAGAAGUACUGGUUGGCAUUGUGGAUCGAAAGAGCAAAUUACUCCUUAACCGAGAAAUUCUUUUUGUAAAUGUCAUAUGGCAGAACCACACA
rnacentral:lncRNA from 1 species